rnacentral:rRNA from 1 species
UACGGGAGGCAGCAGUGAGGAAUAUUGGACAAUGGCCGAGAGGCUGAUCCAGCCAUGCCGCGUGCGGGAGGACGGCCCUAUGGGUUGUAAACCGCUUUUGUCAGGGGGCAAUAAGGUCUACGUGUAGACUGACGAGAGUACCUGGCGAAUAAGCAUCGGCUAACUCCGUGCCAGCAGCCGCGGUAAU